AAAACGACAAGAAAGUCAGCUUGGAAAUUUCAUUGAAGGCGAAGAGCUUGGCACUGAGACAAGCCCUCGUUGCGGCAGUUGUCGAUGUGGUAAAUGUCCUAUCCUUGGACAUACGUACUCGUUCAAAGAAGAGCAAGAACUUAAAAUUAUUCGUGAGAAUCUAGAGUAUGAUGAUUCCAACCAGUGUUGGAUAACAGGGGUUUCAGAAUAAGCCGGCGGCCGGCGGAGUUCCGCCGGCUACUUGAACUUUUACCGCCGGCUACUUUUCGUCUGGUCACAGGAAAAAAAUUAUAUACAAAGGUACAAGCGAACCAACACGAUGUUUGCUAUGUUCCAAUUGGAAUUCAAGCAAAACAUCACUUAUUUUGGAA